AUGGCAACCGCCCUGGUAACCCAUAGCAACCGCGACAAAAAAGGGAGGGGGAGGAGGAGGGGGAACGACCACGUCCACCAAGAGGCAGCAAUGUACUGCGCAGGCUGGGAAUGCGGGCCCGAGCCCCGGCGGCAUAAGAGCCCAGGCCUGGCGAGCCCCUCUCGCCAGGACGGGAGAAGGGCUGGUCGCUGCAGGACCGGGGGAAGGGGGUGCUGGCGGAUGUGGCUGGGCAGCCUUCCCUCUCUCGGUCCCACCCGGGGGUGGAGAGCAGUGGUUGAGGGCUUUAAUGGUCCCCCGCCCACUCCUGUGCGGUCUCUUCCGGGCACAUCCGGGAGAGGGAGGAGCCCCCACCUGUCCCCACCUUUGGUGGUGGAAGGGACUUAUUUAUUCGGUAUAAAGGCGGUGUCUGCGCCCGGCUGGCUGUGGUGUCUGUGCCGCUGUGCGUGUGUCGGCGCGCCUGCGCGUUUUGGUGCCCGCACCUACGUCUGCAUCCGCAGCCGUGCACGGCUGUGCCUUCCCAGCGAGCCGCUUCCAUGUUCGCAGAGCUGUCUGUGCGCGCGCCCGCGCGCCCGCCGGGUGUGUGGAUGGGCGUGCACGCGCGUGUGCACGCGCUUUUGUCUGUCUGGAGCUGGGUGUACGCGCGCACGCGUGCGUCCGUCUGAGCCUAGGGCGACAAUGGCACGCCUUUGUGUGUGCGUGCGCGUGCCGGGCACGGCGGGGCCGGGGCCGGGAGGUGGGGCCCCGACCGUCCCAGCCCUCGGUGUGUGCGUGAAGGGGAGGGGGGGGGCCCUGUUCCUGCUUCCGCGGAAGCUCUUUGUUCUGCGGACCCCUGGCGGAGCGAGGCGGGCCCCUCCGGAGCGAGCGCCCUGGUGGCGAGGGCUGGGUCCGGGAGCCCAGGCCUCCCGCGGCCGCCCCACCGGCGCAGGCCGCCUCCCGCCCUCCGCCUGUGUCGGUUACCCGCGGGAGGGGCCGCGAAGGCCGGGGCCCCGCCCGCAGAUCCUGAAAGACCGUGGCUGCGGGCUGCGUCUCGUUCGCGAUCAUUAG
rnacentral:lncRNA from 1 species